CCUAAUUUUUCCUCUAUUCUCUUCCCACUCUCCCCAAAAGGAAUCCCCGCCCAUCAGUCUUUCUAUUCACUCAUCUCCUCUAAAAGGACAAAGUUGCCGCCUUCCAUCCCCCUCUCUCCGUCUCUCUCCACCAAUGAGACAAUCAAGUCGCCACCGCUCUCUCCCUCCACUUCUCUCUACACCCUCUGCUCACCGCCAAUGAAACCAAGCAACCAACGCCACCCUCCACUCUUAUAUCUAUACCUCAUAGAUCCUGUAUGGAUACAGAUUUGUCCCCGGAUUUCUUUUAUUUGUUUCAAAACAAUCGGAUUGCUCGAAUGCCUUAUGCAUCUGUGGAAAAGCAAGCGGAUUCGUGAUGUCAAAGUUCUUUGAAUCAAUGCCAUGGAAGAUGAUUGAAGCUUAGGAUUAUUUCAUUUGUUGUCCCAUUCCACUUAGUUUUAUUUCUGUAAUUUUAUUUUUCAAAAGUUGUAAUGAUUACAUUUAUUAUCAAUAAAUUAUGAUGUUUUUCUUAUUUUUUUUU